GGGGAGAGACUUAGAAUCCCCAUAGGGUCAGUGUGUAAAUAGCUGCGUCUUUGGCCGGGCGUAACGGUUUGUGAAUC
rnacentral:ncRNA from 1 species